GACGAACGCUGGCGGCGUGCUUAACACAUGCAAGUCGAACGGUGAAGCGCCUUCCUUUUUGGUGGGUGUGGAUGAGUGGCGAACGGGUGAGUAACACGUGAGUAACCUGCCCCCUUCUUCUGGAUAACCGCAUGAAAGUGUGGCUAAUACGGGAUAUUCUGGGUCUGUCGCAUGAUGGGUCUGGGAAAGAUAUUGUUUCGGUGGGGGAUGGGCUCGCGGCCUAUCAGCUUGUUGGUGGGGUGAUGGCCUACCAAGGCGGUGACGGGUAGCCGGCCUGAGAGGGUGGACGGCCCCACUGGGACUGAGACACGGCCCAGACUCCUACGGGAGGCAGCAGUGGGGAAUAUUGCACAAUGGGCGCAAGCCUGAUGCAGCGACGCCGCGUGAGGGAUGGAGGCCGUCGGGUUGUGAACCUCUUUCGCCAGUGAAGCAGGCCUGCCUCGUUUGUGGGUGGGUUGACGGUAGCUGGAUAAGAAGCGCCGGCUAACUACGUG
rnacentral:rRNA from 1 species